AGCAGCCGCGGUAAUUCCAGCUCCAAUAGCGUAUAUUAAAGUUGUUGCAGUUAAAAAGCUCGUAGUUGAAUUUCGGGAUCAAUAUGCUGGUCGUGCCAUUGGUACGUACUAGUAUUAUUGGUUUCUCCUUUCUGAUGAAUCAUGAUGUCAUUAAUUUGAUGUCAUGAGGAAUCAGGACUGUUACUUUGAAAAAAAUUAGAGUGUUUAAAGCAGGCUCGCGCUUGAAUACAUUAGCAUGGAAUAAUGAAAUAGGAUGUUUGAUUCUAUUUUGUUGGUUUCUAGGAUUUGACGUAAUGAUUAAUAGGGAUAGUUGGGGGCAUUAGUAUUCAAUUGUCAGAGGUGAAAUUCUUGGAUUUAUUGAAGACUAACUACUGCGAAAGCAUUUGCCAAGGAUGUUUUCAUUAAUCAAGAACGAAAGUUAGGGGAUCGAAGACGAUCAGAUACCGUCGUAGUCUUAACCAUAAACUAUGCCGACUAGGGAUCGGAUGAUGUUAAUUUUUUUAAUGACUCAUUCGGCGCC
rnacentral:rRNA from 1 species